ACGUGAACUUGUUCUUAUUAGGUUUU
rnacentral:rRNA from 1 species